UAGCAAAUUAAAUUGUAGAGAAGCAAUUUCACCCAGUGAUAUAAAUAUUAAUUAAACGAAUCAUUUUGAGAACUCAUAAUCAUAGUUACGUUUCAUAUUUGGGAGCCAGUAUGUGUUUCCGAAGCGAACCAGAACCAAUCCGCUGGAUACUCACUGAUGACGAGGUACGAGAGUUAACAAAAUGGAGAGAAUUAAAACGGAUACAAAUAUUGGAAAAGAGAGAAAAAGAUAAGAAAGAAAGCGAUGCUAGGAAAGCCAAGCUUCAGAAUCUGAACCGCAAUAACCAACCUGCAGGGGGACGAGGAGCUAGAAGAUGAAGUCCAUUGCUAAUGUGAACAUUGAAUUCCAUGAUUAUAGUUUCGGGGUAUUGACCACGGAUGCUAUAGUGUGGGACAUACUGAAAAUGCCACCUUAAUGUUAUUUUGUACGUUUUUGUCUGAUUUUGUAAA